rnacentral:rRNA from 1 species
CUUACACAUGCAAGUCGAACGCAACCUUCGGGUUGAGUGGCGGACGGGUGAGUAACGCGUGAGAAUCUGCCUUGGGGUCGGGGACAACCACUGGAAACGGUGGCUAAUACCGGAUAAGCCUUUGGGUAAAAGAUUAUUGCCCCAAGAGGAGCUCGCGUCUGAUUAGCUAGUUGGUGAGGUAAAAGCUCACCAAGACAGCGAUCAGUAGCUGGUCUGAGAGGACGAUCAGCCACACUGGGACUGAGACACGGGCCAAACUCCUACCGGGAGGCAGCAGUGGGGAAUUUUCCGCAAUGGGCGAAAGCCUGACGGAGCAAGACCGCGUGAGGGAGGAAGGCUCUUGGGUUGUAAACCUCUUUUCUCAGGGAAGAAGCUCUGACGGUACCUGAGGAAUCAGCCUCGGCUAACUCCGUGCCAGCAGCCGCGGUAAUACGGAGGAGGCAAGCGUUAUCCGGAAUUAUUGGGCGUAAAGCGUCCGCAGGUGGCGAUUCAAGUCUGCUGUCAAAGCACGGGGCUUAACUCCGUUAAGGCAGUGGAAACUGAAUAGCUAGAGUGCCGUAGGGGUAGAGGGAAUUCCCGGUGUAGCGGUGAAAUGCGUAGAGAUCGGGAAGAACAUCGGUGGCGAAAGCGCUCUACUGGACGGCAACUGACACUCAGGGACGAAAGCUAGGGGAGCGAAUGGGAUUAGAUACCCCAGUAGACCUAGCUGCUAACGACGGAUACUAGGUGUAGCUUGUAUCGACCCGAGCUGUGCCGAAGCUA